rnacentral:rRNA from 1 species
GAGGGGCCCGCGGCCUAUCAGCUAGUUGGUGAGGUAACGGCUCACCAAGGCGACGACGGGUAGCUGGUCUGAGAGGACGACCAGCCACACGGGGACUGAGACACGGCCCCGACUCCUACGGGAGGCAGCAGUGGGGAAUUUUCCGCAAUGGGCGAAAGCCUGACGGAGUGACGCCGCGUGGGGGACGAAGGCCUUCGGGUUGUAAACCCCUGUCAGAGGGAAAGAAGGGUGUCGGCGUGAACAGCGCCGGCAUCUGACGGUACCUUCAGAGGAAGCCCCGGCCAACUCUGUGCCAGCAGCCGCGGUAAGACAGAGGGGGCAAGCGUUGCUCGGAAUCACUGGGCGUAAAGGGCGCGUAGGCGGGAUGGCAAGUCGGUCGUGAAAUCCCUCGGCUCAACUGAGGGGGGUCGGCCGAUACUGCCGUUCUUGAGGGAUGCAGAGGGGACUGGAAUUCCCGGUGUAGCGGUGAAAUGUGUAGAGAUCGGGAGG